CUACUUACCCGGCAGGGGGGCUACCAUGAUCACUAAGGUGGUUUUCCCAGGGAGAGGCUCAUCCAUUGCACUCCGGAUGCGCUGACCCCUGCGAUUUCCCCAGCAUGGGAAACGUAACUGCAUCAUUUAUGGUAGUGGGGAGGCUGCGUUUGUGCCCUCCCCUG